UACGUAGGGUGCAAGCGUUGUCCGGAAUUAUUGGGCGUAAAGAGCUCGUAGGCGGUUUGUCGCGUCUGCUGUGAAAACUCGGGGCUUAACCCCGGGCCUGCAGUGGGUACGGGCAGACUAGAGUGCGGUAGGGGAGACUGGAAUUCCUGGUGUAGCGGUGAAAUGCGCAGAUAUCAGGAGGUACACCGGUGGCGAAGGCGGGUCUCUGGGCCGUAACUGACGCUGAGGAGCGAAAGCGUGGGGAGCGAACAGG
rnacentral:rRNA from 1 species